rnacentral:rRNA from 1 species
GCGAUCAUACCAGCAGUAAUGCACCGGAUCCCAUCAGAACUCCGCAGU